rnacentral:rRNA from 1 species
UGGGGAAUUUUGCACAAUGGGGGAAACCCUGAUGCAGCGACGCCGCGUGAUUUAGAAGGCCUUCGGGUUGUAAAAAUCUUUUCUAUGGGAAGAAAAUGACAGUACCAUAGGAAUAAGGACCGGCUAAUUACGUGCCAGCAGCCGCGGUAAUACGUAAGGUCCGAGCGUUGUCCGGAAUCAUUGGGCGUAAAGGGUACGUAGGCGGGUAAGCAAGUUAGAAGUGAAAUCCUAUAGCUCAACUAUAGUAAGCUUUUAAAACUGCUCAUCUUGAGGUAUGGAAGGGAAAGUGGAAUUCCUAGUGAAGCGGUGAAAUGCGCAGAUAUUAGGAGGAAUACCGGUGGCGAAGGCGACUUUCUGGCCAUAACCUGACGCUGAGGUACGAAAGCGUGGGUAGCAAACAGG